rnacentral:lncRNA from 1 species
GCCAGAUUUCGUAUAAGUGGCAGAAGCACAAUCUAAAACUUUUCUUCUGAAUCCAAAACAAAAGUACCUUCUACCACUUCCAAUCCAAUGUUAUAGUUAGAUUACUGAGCUAAACCCCAUGGCUGCUUUCAGUGACCUAUGAUAAAUGAGAAAAAAACCUCUUCUUGUCUCAUCCAUUAGAUGGUCCAAUGAAAAAAGGGCAGAAUUUUUGUGGAACUUAUUCCUCAGAGAGUGUUUUACAACGGGUAUUGUAUUUUCUGUGCUUCCUAGGGGUCCUGUAGACAAUGAAUUCACAUCCCUUCUAAGAAAAAAGAAGGAUCCACAAAUCUAGCACCUUCAGGGUGUAGCGUAUCAGUAAUUAAUUGGCCUCCUAUUUUCAGUACUGUUGUCUCUAAAUAAUUCAUAUCUCCAGUUCAACUCAAGUGUAAUUAAGUCUCAUUCUGGACUGGCAAGAUCCCAGUCAUUUUCAUUAUAAAUUAAGACAUUUUAGAGCAAUUAUGAAUGAAAAAUUAAAUUGAUUGCUUAGAAGUCAUUUCUGGCACAUAAAUAGGUAUCACAGAAGGUUGGGAGGGACCACUGGGGUUCAUCUAGUCCAACAUCCCUGCUCAAGCAGAGUCCCCUAAAACACAUUACUUGGAACUGUGUCCAAGCACAAGAUCUAUUACCUCACAAUGGUAUCCUUCAUGGGAAUAAUUGAUAGAUACUGAACUUCUCACAGAACUGAACUACAGUGCUUUAGGUAUAGAAUGACACCUCUGAGGUCAGGAAUCACUCUUGUUUAAUUGGGGUUGCGAUCAGUGACAAGGUCAACAUCAGCACAGGUUUGGGGACACCUCUUUGGGAGUGGUAGGAGGUGAUGAUGCUUAUGGAAGUGAAACUGAGGUAGAGGGAUGAGUGGAUGGAAAAGCUCCUCUGGAACAGCACGAAUGCCCACAUGGUGUUCAUCUUUCCCCAUAAGCCACCAAGGACAGAAGCUCUACUGCUCUACCACUCUGCUGCCUGUGGUGACCCUGCUCUGCCUUUCUGUGGUUUGCAGUAGGGAUGGGUCGAGAUGUACCACUGAAAGCGCUGUCAGCUGUUCAAAGUCGCUGCUGAUUUUUGGAGAACAGAAAGAGCUGUGGGAAGUUAGCUAUCUGGCAGUCGAAACUGAAUUUUCUAGGUGCACAGUCUGCUUUUCUUCCAGUGGACACAUCAUGAUUAAGGAUUCACUUAGGAGUUCUUCGAAGGGUCCCAGUGUGUCUCAGGCCCUCAGUGCAAACUCUCAGCAAAUUGGACCUUGGCGUGAGCAGAACAUGUAUUCACAUUCGGAUCACAGCUGCCAAGACACACAAAUUCUCUGUGUGAUCGCUUGGAUUUCUGGUCUCUCUCUCAUUGGGGAGGAAAUGUCAUGAUCACAUGGAGACUUAGCAUGAGAGGCCACUGUAAAAAACAAAUAAAAUGGAACCAUAUUUUCUGACUGGAAACA